CCUACGGGUGGCAGCAGUGGGGAAUAUUGGACAAUGGGCGAAAGCCUGAUCCAGCCAUGCCGCGUGUGUGAAGAAGGCCUUCGGGUUGUAAAGCACUUUCAGUGGGGAAGAAAGCCUUGGGGCUAAUACCCUCGAGGAAGGACAUCACCCACAGAAGAAGCACCGGCUAACUCCGUGCCAGCAGCCGCGGUAAUACGGAGGGUGCGAGCGUUAAUCGGAAUUACUGGGCGUAAAGCGCGCGUAGGCGGUCUGAUAAGCCGGUUGUGAAAGCCCCGGGCUCAACCUGGGAACGGCAUCCGGAACUGUCAGGCUAGAGUGCAGGAGAGGAAGGUAGAAUUCCCGGUGUAGCGGUGAAAUGCGUAGAGAUCGGGAGGAAUACCAGUGGCGAAGGCGGCCUUCUGGACUGACACUGACGCUGAGGUGCGAAAGCGUGGGUAGCAAACAGGAUUAGAUACCCGGUUAGUC
rnacentral:rRNA from 1 species